rnacentral:misc_RNA from 1 species
GGAAACAGAAUAUGUCUCUCUAUAUAUAUAGGCACAAGACAAAGUUGCAUACAGAACUUAUUACAAGAAAAAUGAUAAGCCAGAGUGCCUAGAGUCUUAUCCAGUUUCUCAUCCUUUAAUUCUGGGCUUCUACUUUAGCAAUAAGAUUCAUGGCAUCCAUAUAUCUCAUGUCAUUAGAAACCAUGUCAGCGAGAAGAUUAAUCAGUAAAUCUCUAAUUUCCAA